rnacentral:rRNA from 1 species
AAUAAUACCCCGGUAGUCCACGCCGUAAACGAUGAGUGCUAAGUGUUAGAGGGUUUCCGCCCUUUAGUGCUGCAGCUAACGCAUUAAGCACUCCGCCUGGGGAGUACGGUCGCAAGACUGAAACUCAAAGGAAUUGACGGGGGCCCGCACAAGCGGUGGAGCAUGUGGUUUAAUUCGAAGCAACGCGAAGAACCUUACCAGGUCUUGACAUCCCACUGACCGGUAUAGAGAUAUACCUUUCCCUUCGGGGACAGUGGUGACAGGUGGUGCAUGGUUGUCGUCAGCUCGUGUCGUGAGAUGUUGGGUUAAGUCCCGCAACGAGCGCAACCCUUGAUCUUAGUUGCCAGCAUUUAGUUGGGCACUCUAAGGUGACUGCCGGUGACAAACCGGAGGAAGGUGGGGAUGACGUCAAAUCAUCAUGCCCCUUAUGACCUGGGCUACACACGUGCUACAAUGGAUGGUACAAAGGGCUGCAAGACUGCGAAGUCAAGCCAAUCCAUAAACCAUUCUCAGUUCGGAUUGCAGGCUG